GUUGUAGUGGCAUCUCUCUAGAAAAACUACAUUUCAAAGUUUCCUGCAACUUCCCACUUGCCUUGGCUACUCUAUAAAUGUGCACUCAUCUUCAACAGCCUGAAGCGUGGGGAGCAGUUUCACUUUUGUGAACCACGUUUGUGACUCUUCUCUCUCUUUUUAUCAUAUUGACAGUCUGCAGAUCGACGGAAGUUGCCGGAAAUGCCUCACCAGGGGCAGUCUUCUGCACUUGUAAAAUCAAAAGGAUCAAAGAGAAAGAAGGCUAAGAAGGUUGCAUGGUUUAUUAUAAAGCAUACGGUACUUAAUCUUCUGUUUGGUGGGUUCGGGGAUGUUGCUGAGAUUGCUGUUGAGUACUUGACAAAUUGACGUUUCUGUUGAAAUUGGAACAAGUGUGGUGCAAUGUAAGGAAACAGAUGUUGGACCUGCAAAUAAGUUUCCUGCUUUUAGGAAAACUUGAUAUCAUGUGUGCAUAUGAUGAAUAAUUUUCUCCUUUUUAGGGGAACUUGAUGUCCUGGAUUCAUGCUUUAUAAUUACAGCUUUGGACUUAGUGUUUUCUUUAUAAAUAAAUUGUCCCUUUUCUGGGGGAACUUGAUGUCAUGGAUUCAUGUUUUUUAUGAUGACAGUUUGGAGUUAAUGUAGUUAUAUGGGAUUUUUUUUUGUAUUUGCUCCAAAUUCGUAAAUAUUUCUCUUUUAGUUUGUAUUAGAUCUUCUUUCAGUUUGUAUUAGAUCUUCUUCUGCACACUGGGUGAUCAGGCCAUUCUGUCACCUGACCCAGUGCUGACCAGCGUGUUUUAAUCCGAGUUGGUGAUCACUUCUCCCUCCCUCUCUGAGUAGUGCCGGAGAGCCAGAAAUUUCUCACUGUAAGUUUAAAUUUCAAAUUUUAAGAAUUACAUGAAAAAUCAAAAAAUUGUAAAGUUUAUAUAUAUAUAAAUAAAGUAAUUUUUGUGGGUGUGUGGGCAAUGAACAUCUGAAGUCCAUGGCCGACGCAUGUGGAGGGACAGCCGACGCAUGAAAUAGGUGUGUUUCUAGUCUUAGUAGUUUUUCUUUUCGAUUUAUCAAGCUUUCAAUUGGUUAGUUUGUGAUAAAAGUUAAAACUAAAACAAAAUCAGAAUUUAAAUCACUCAAAAAGGAUAAAUCUGCAACUACUUGAUCCUUGUUAGGCUUUCAUGUCUUGGUAUUUCCACCAGGUGGUACGUAAAAGAAAUCAACAUCAAUGCCUAGUAUGACCUUUUCUAGUUAGUAAAUAGAAAUUUUUGCUGCAAUUUUUUUUUUCUUUUCAUCAGUUCUUCAUGUUCAUCGCAGAGCUAGGCAGUGUGUCUAUUUUUUCACUUGAAGGUCGUACCAGCAUCAGAUCGUCAUGUUCAACAAAGAAUUGAGAAAAGGUACAGUCGACACGGGUUUGUGGUUACGUUGAAUUCAAAGCGGUGGCUGGUGCUGCGGAAGCUCUCCUUCACAUCUAAUUUCUGCUUUCUAACACCAGUUUUUACAUGAUGAUAAAGCCAUCUUUGUAAACAAAAUGGUACUUAAUGGUGCCAGACACUUUGCAGGCUUGAAAUCAGAAGCCUUGAGAAUGUAGUAUCAUAGAAGCCAUUAUUUCUCACAUUGCUUCCACAUUUAUUUGUAUCAUAACUUUCAGUACUUAUUGAUUGUAGUUGUGAGGUUUAAUGCACCCAUGGAAGGCCUUAGGACAAAAGCCUUUCUUCAAUGUAAUCAGGAUAAAUCUGCAACUUUUUGAGCUCCAGCUCAACUAGCUGCAGUUAUAAACAGAAUCUUUAUUUAUUU